rnacentral:rRNA from 1 species
AAAUUGAAGAGUUUGAUCAUGGCUCAGAUUGAACGCUGGCGGCAGGCCUAACACAUGCAAGUCGAACGGUAACAGGAAGCAGCUUGCUGCUUUGCUGACGAGUGGCGGACGGGUGAGUAAUGUCUGGGAAACUGCCCGAUGGAGGGGGAUAACUACUGGAAACGGUAGCUAAUACCGCAUAACGUCGCAAGACGAAAGAGGGGGACCUUAGGGCCUCUUGCCAUCGGAUGUGCCCAGAUGGGAUUAGCUAGUA